rnacentral:rRNA from 1 species
GAUGAACGCUGGCGGCGUGCCUAAUACAUGCAAGUCGAGCGAACAGAUGAGGAGCUUGCUCCUCUGACGUUAGCGGCGGACGGGUGAGUAACACGUGGAUAACCUACCUAUAAGACUGGGAUAACUUCGGGAAACCGGAGCUAAUACCGGAUAAUAUAUUGAACCGCAUGGUUCAAUAGUGAAAGACGGUUUUGCUGUCACUAAUAGAUGGAUCCGCGCCGCAUUAGCUAGUUGGUAAGGUAACGGCUUACCAAGGCGACGAUGCGUAGCCGACCUGAGAGGGUGAUCGGCCACACUGGAACUGGGCCACGGUCCAGACUCCUACGGGAGGCAGCAGUAGGGAAUCUUCCGCAAUGGGCGAAAGCCUGACGGAGCAACGCCGCGUGAGUGAUGAAGGUCUUCGGUUCGUAAAACUCUGUUAUUAGGGAAGAACAAAUGUGUAAGUAACUAUGCACGUCUUGACGGUACCUAAUCAGAAAGCCACGGCUAACUACGUG